UUCAUUUCUUAUUCUAAUUUUACCUAAAAAAUUAUGUUUACUCUCACCACAUUCCAUAGAGCCGUUGAGAAAUGUGGGGAGCAAAACAUAGCUCCUCAACUGUAGGGAGCGAUUUCAAGCCCCACAAAAAUUUGAGGAGUGACUUGACAGGUAGGGAGCAGCGUUGGAGCAAAAAUUUUGAGAAAUACUCUCCGAAUUUUGACUUAGGGAGGCUGCUGGCUCUGCGUUGGAGAUGGCCCUGCUUUUACGGAGCCCUGUUCCCUACACCUUGACAAGUACUCAUCUGAAUUGCGUACGCAAGAGCUUGAUUUGCGUGGGAAAUGAUCGGGGCUCCUAUGGAACUGAUUUGUUUUUAUGGAACCCUUCUAUCAGGAAAUUUGUUACCCUUCCGACGCCUGGAAUCACUUUUAAAUCUCACGGUGCAUAUGUGUUUGUUUUUGGAUUUGGGUUUGAUUCCAAAAGCAAUGGUUACAAGGUGAUGAGAAUUGUUUAUCUUCAAGGAAGAAAUGGGUUCAAGAAGGUUCCGCCUGAGGUCGAGCUUUAUGAGCUGAGUACUGGUACUUGGAGGGUGAUUGCUACUGUUGCGCCUCAUUACGUGAUGUGUAACUAUUUAUUACAGGCUAAGAUGAGUGGUGCUGUGCACUGGCUUGCAUCCAGUUCAACCCAGAUCAGCGGGGUUGCUACUAUGAUUGUGGUUUUUGACUCGAGUGAUGAGGUGUUUAAGGAGGUGAAUUUGCCGAACAAAUUAGCCCACAAAUCUUCUCUUGAAAUAUCUAUUGCAGCACGUGGCGAAUCCCUUGCUUUGUUCCACUACUAUUGAAGUUCUUCUUCCAUUGGGUGUUGUAGUGUUUGGGUGCUGGAAAAAUAUGGCAUGGAUGAUUCUUGGACUAAACUUUUCAAUAUGGAAUUGUUGCGAGGAGUAGACAUGGUGUUAGGAUUCAAAAAGAAUGGUGAACUUCUAAUAGUAACAGUCGAUGACAAACUACUGUCUUAUGACCCAGAUGAUGAACAAGUUAAGGAUCUUGGAAUUCGUGGGAGAACGCGCACUUCUGCUACGCGUGAAAGUUCAUUGUAUGUUUAUUCUUACAUUGAAAGCCUAGUUCUACUCAGGGGCGGAUUUAGGGGGGGGGGGGGGGGCAGGCACGGGCUGCAGCCCCCCCCCAAGAUUCAGCCCUCCCCCAGAUUUGCAAGGGAGGAGGGCUGAAAUGGGUUAUGGAUCUGGGGGCCAGCCCUCCCCCAGAUCUACUCCUAGAUCCGCCCCUGGUUCUACUUGAUAGAGCUUAUGUGGUAUUGGGCUAUGAUUUGGUCCCUGGUUUGCUUGGAGAGGAUGACAGUGAAAUCAAGGACUGUCAGUGAUCCAAAAUGCUUCAGGCAAAAGCUACAAUUGUGGGGCAUCCUUGAAGGGAGCUUUUGAGUACAAGCCUCUGUUUUGGUGAUGCUCUGAUGGAUAUCUAGACAUCACUGGAAGUAUAUAGUAGAAUGCAUAAGGCCAUCUCUAGGAGAAAGCUCUGCCAUCCAUCGGACAAUACAUGUCGGUCGGUACUAGUAUAAAUAGAUUGUUAUGUAAUGUUUUCCCAUGUUUUCCGUCAUCAACUCCCCUCCUGCGAAUAUAUAUAUAUAUAUAUAUAGCGAAGUGAAAAAUAAAAGGGAUAACGAUUCUGGCCCAUUUUGAAGAAGAUUCAUCGUCAACUGUAGCAAGUGAAUGAAUAGAAGGCAGGCUGUGUUAUGAAAGAGGAGCACAAGACCACAAGCAUCAGCUACUGAAGAUGCUUGUGUGGGUAUGCAGUAGUUUGUUUGCUUUGUUGGCUGUUCAAACUUAAAUGGUUGAAUAGAAGAUAUUGUUCCUUAGUAUCAGUUGUGGAUUGUAUUUUGCUUUAUCAGUUACCCAAUACUUAGGUGUCUUUGCUGUGGGUAUGGCCAUGCUUUACAACUAUGGAUGUAACCAAUACAGUACCCAGCUCUGUAUUAGUCUUCUGAAGGACGUUACAGUGAUUUAUGUGAAUCAACUUUUGUCUUUUA